UCUCUCCCCCCAGACUAAGUGCUUCAUCUGCGGAAUAGGAAGUGACUACUUUGACACGACUCCUCAUGGAUUUGAAACACAUACUCUGGAAGAGCACAAUUUGGCCAACUACAUGUGAGUGGAUCAAUUCCAGGAUUCAGAGUGAUAUUACUGUUCAUUAUUACAUUUUUUUGUUCUUGCAAAAAAUCUUAUUUUAUCCUUUGUGCCCUUUCCUGACAGGUUCUUCCUGAUGUAUUUAAUCAAUAAAGAUGAGACGGAGCACACUGGACAGGAAUCGUAUGUGUGGAAGAUGUACCAGGAGCGAUGCUGGGACUUCUUCCCAGCCGGGGACUGUUUCAGAAAGCAAUAUGAGGAUCAGCUCGGCUAACUCUCAGUGCCAUAGAGUAUAUGAUAUAGUGUGUGUGCUUGUGUGUGUGUGUGUGUGAGGGCGUGGGGGUGUGUCUGAGGACAAUAAUGCCAACAAAGUAGUAAUGCCAUCUAAAAAAAACAAGAAACAGAAACAAAAUUUUUCAUUUUUUCAAUUUGAGUAACUAAACUACCCAUACUCUGAAGCACACACUCACACCCUGAGCCUUUUACCUACCUGUGUGUGUGUGUGUGUGUGUGUGUGUGUGAGUGCGUGAGUGAAUAAGUGAAAGAGGGUGUGAGUUGAGAGAUGAAUAAUAAGCAGUGUGUGUGUUUUUUUGUGUGUGAAAGAGAGAGAGGGAGCAGAAUGAGGACGAUUUGUGAGGAGGAUUGUACACACAGCCUUUCUAUUUUAUUAUUGAGGGAAAAUGUUUAAAGGAUAAAACGAUCCCUCGGUUCCUCCCUCCUUCUCUCAGUCCCGUCUUCGUGUCGUUACGGAUCUUAAAACAUCACAGUGCCUAAUACUGAAUCAGCUACAAUGAUGAGAAGUAUGAAGAUAUUCUACUGCUUUAUUGGGAGUCAGUAUUGAUCUUUUUUUAGACGCAGUAAGUGAAUGAGUAUUUAAGACUUUAGUGUAAAGUAUGUACGUUUUUUGUCUAUAUUUAUUUAUGUGUAUAUAGACGUUACACGUGCCGGAGCCACAGAACUAGAGCCACUUCACUGCUGAUCUCCUGCUCUGUGAGCUACUCACGGUUUUAAUCCAGGCUGUUGCUCUGUGCGGCGGUAAAUAUAUAUAUGACCGUUUGUAUAGAAACACACUUCUUAUGAGAAAAGAAAGAAACUCUAAAUGCCUUCCUCACUCCGUUUCUUUCUGUAGACGAUUUCUUAUAAACUACUUAAACUACGAACUCUCUUUUUUAACUGUUGUUGGUGGUGAGACAUGAGCUUUGAGCCAGUACUUUGUACUUAUCUUCAACAACCUAUUCUGCACUCCAAAGUCUUAGGAUGAGACACUGUUUCCAUCCCCCGUUACACACAUUUUUCUUUUACUUACUUCUACAGAAACACUGUUAGCUGGAAAAGUCCAGCAAACGGAUGUAUGAAAAUAUAGAAAUACAGUAUUUACGGCCUCCUGUCUACACUCUUAAAAAUAAAGACGCUUCAGGUGUUUUUUUAAUAGAUGCC
rnacentral:lncRNA from 1 species